GACAUGGAAGUCGUAAUCCGCUAAGGAGUGUGUAACAACUCACCUGCCGAAGCAACUAGCCCUUAAAAUGGAUGGCGCUCAAGUCAUAUGCCUAUACAUCAUCGCUAGAAUAAAAAUUGUUGGCCAUUCGGUCAUCAUUGUGAAAUUCUAGUGAGUAGGAGGGUACAAUGGUGUGCGCAGAAGUGUUUGGCGUGAGCCUGCAUGAAGCCGCCAUUGGCACAGAUCUUGGUGGUAGUAGCAAAUAAUCGAAUGAGAUCUUGGAGGACUGAAGUGGAGAAGGGUUUCGUGUGAACAGUGGUUGAUCACGAGUUAGUCGGUCCUAAGCUUUAUGCGAAAGC
rnacentral:rRNA from 1 species